rnacentral:rRNA from 1 species
AGUGAACGCUGGCGGUAGGCCUAACACAUGCAAGUCGAACGGCAGCACAGUAAGAGCUUGCUCUUACGGGUGGCGAGUGGCGGACGGGUGAGGAAUACAUCGGAAUCUACUUUUUCGUGGGGGAUAACGUAGGGAAACUUACGCUAAUACCGCAUACGACCUACGGGUGAAAGCAGGGGAUCUUCGGACCUUGCGCGAUUGAAUGAGCCGAUGUCGGAUUAGCUAGUUGGCGGGGUAAAGGCCCACCAAGGCGACGAUCCGUAGCUGGUCUGAGAGGAUGAGAAGCGACACUGGAACUGAGAGACGGACCAGAAGACGCAGGGAGGCAGCAGGCGGGAAGAUUGGACAAUGGGCGCGAGCAUUAUCCAGCUAUAACGGGGGGGGGAAGAAGGCCUGCGGGUUUGAAAGACCUUUGGGUGGGAAAGAAAAGCAGCCGGUUAAUACCUCGGGGUGCGGACGGUAGGUAAAGAAGAAGAAACGGCUAACUUCGUG